rnacentral:rRNA from 1 species
AACGAACGCUGGCGGCAGGCUUAACACAUGCAAGUCGAGCGCCCCGCAAGGGGAGCGGCAGACGGGUGAGUAACGCGUGGGAAUCUACCCAUCUCUACGGAAUAACGCAUGGAAACGUGUGCUAAUACCGUGUACGUCCUUCGGGAGAAAGAUUUAUCGGAGAUGGAUGAGCCUGCGUUGGAUUAGCUAGUUGGUGGGGUAAAGGCCUACCAAGGCGACGAUCCAUAGCUGGUCUGAGAGGAUGAUCAGCCACACUGGGACUGAGACACGGCCCAGACUCCUACGGGAGGCAGCAGUGGGGAAUAUUGGACAAUGGGCGCAAGCCUGAUCCAGCCAUGCCGCGUGAGUGAUGAAGGCCCUAGGGUUGUAAAGCUCUUUCACCGGUGAAGAUAAUGACGGUAACCGGAGAAGAAGCCCCGGCUAACUUCGUGCCAGCAGCCGCGGUAACAC